rnacentral:lncRNA from 1 species
AAUAGUUUAUGAUUCUUUACUUGAGUUCAAUGAUUUCAUAAGUUAUAGUAUAAAAUAAGACUUACUGUAAUAUCUAUCCUGUAAAAAAAAUUGUAAAAUUCUACUCUAAAGAAUUUGAGAGAGUGCAGAAGUGAAAACAGAGUAUGAAUUAGGAGGAAGGGAGUGACUGGCUGUGCGGGUGCAGAGGUGUUCAGACCUUUCCUUCUAAGAGGUAAGAAAUUUUUGGUCAUUGUUCUAAUGAUGUUUUCCUCUUAAGCUGUUCACUUC